UGGGGUAGCUCAGUUGGCAGAGCGCGAGACUCUUAAUUUCAGGGUCGUGGUUUAAGCCAACAUUGGGUAAAAG